UAGAGAAUAGUAUAGUGGAAGUAUUGAAAGUUUUGGGCUUUCAGGUUCAAGUUCAAAUCUUGAUUUUCUAG
rnacentral:tRNA from 1 species